rnacentral:lncRNA from 10 species
CCUGGGGCGCGGCAGGACGCGGGGCAGCCUUGCGCGAAGGGGCGUUUUCGUGGAGCCACCUGCCGCGCCACGCUCCAGUCCCGUCACUUGUGCUCGCGAGCGCCGGUGCGCGCAGGUGCGGGCGGGGUUGUGGGGACGCCGGGAGGGCGGCGCGGUACUUUCCAGAAGGUUCCGCACCGGAAGCGCCUGCCGAGGCCGGAGGCUGGGUGCAGGGGCGGAGACGCGGAGAACUUGGGAUCCUGGUUUAAGGGAGCUGGGAAGCUGCCGCAGAAAUGAGGUCUCGCUGUGUUGCCCAGGCUGGUCUCAAAUUCCUGGCCUCAAGCAAUCUUCCUGCCUCGGCCUCCCAAAGUACUGGGAUGACAGGCAUGAGCCACCACGACCAGAUGCAUGGUAAAUUUUGUGUUUUAUGUAUCGUACCACACACACGAAAAUUUAAAAAACAUCUGGCUAUGCAUGUCUUUCAAAGCAACAGCAAUUGUUCUGAGAGAUUAAAGUCACCAUUGAAGAACCUGCAUUAUCGUUUAUUGUGAUCCUAAUUCGGU